AUCGAACGCUGGCGGCAGGCCUAAUACAUGCAAGUCGAGCGGAGCGGCGGACGGGUGAGUAAUGCCUAGGAAUCUGCCUGGUAGUGGGGGAUAACGUCCGGAAACGGGCGAUAAUACCGCAUAAUAGCAGAUGAGCUUAGGUCGGAUUAGCUAGUUGGUGGGGUAAAGGCCUACCAAGGCGACGAUCCGUAACUGGUCUGAGAGGGUGAUCGGGCACACGGGAACUGAGACACGGUCCAGACUCCUACGGGAGGCAGCAGGGGGGAAUAUGGGACAAUGGGCGAAAGCCUGAUCCAGCCAUGCCGCGUGUGUGAAGAAGGUCUUCGGAUUGUAAAGCUCUUUAAGUUGGGAGGCGGUACCUACAGAGUAAGCACCGGCUAACUUCGUGCCAGCAGCCGCGGUAAUAC
rnacentral:rRNA from 1 species